AGAGUUUGAUCCUGGCUCAGAAUCAACGCUGGCGGCGCGCUUAACACAUGCAAGUCGCACGAGAAAGCAGGAGCAAUCUUGUGAGUAAAGUGGCGUACGGGUGAGUAACACGUGGAUCAUCUACCUUCUAGUGGGGAAUACCUCUGGGAAACCGGAGAUAAUUCCGCAUAAGCUCGUGAGAGGAAAGCCGAAAGGCGCUGGAAGAGGAGUCCGCGGCUGAUUAGCUAGAUGGCGGGGUAACGGCCCACCAUGGCGAAGAUCGGUAGCCGGCCUGAGAGGGCACACGGCCACACUGGCACUGAAACACGGGCCAGACUCCUACGGGAGGCAGCAGUGGGGAAUCUUGCACAAUGGAGGCAACUCUGAUGCAGCGACGCCGCGUGAGCGAUGAAGCCCUUCGGGGUGUAAAGCUCUUUCGACGGGAAAGAUUAUGACGGUACCCGGAGAAGAAGCUGCGGCUAACUACGUGCCAGCAGCCGCGGUAAUACGUAGGCAGCGAGCGUUGUUCGGAAUUACUGGGCGUAAAGAGUGUGUAGGCGGUGCUCCAAGUCUGGUGUGAAAUCUCCCGGCUUAACUGGGAGGGUGCGCCGGAAACUGGAGUGCUAGAGGAUGGGAGAGGUAAGCGGAAUUCCUGGUGUAGCGGUGAAAUGCGUAGAUAUCAGGAGGAACACCUGUGGUGUAGACAGCUUACUGGACCAUUUCUGACGCUGAGACACGAAAGCGUGGGUAGCAAACAGGAUUAGAUACCCUGGUAGUCCACGCCCUAAACGAUGCAUACUUGGUGUGAGCGAUUCAUUUCGUUCGUGCCGGAGCUAACGCGUUAAGUAUGCCGCCUGGGGAGUACGGUCGCAAGGUUGAAACUCAAAGGAAUUGACGG
rnacentral:rRNA from 1 species